GAUUGUAAAUAAAUCUAUGUUAAAAACACAUAAUGUCGGUAAACUAUAGUGAUUUUGUACAAACAUUCUGUAUGUUUUGUUCAUGAACAACUGAAGAGAGGAGACUGAAAGGACUGUAUACAAACCUGGUUAAACCUGUUUUACAGGAAGGAGGAGUCGUGUAUCUGAUCACAACAGGUGAUGUGUUGUUUGGGAAUGAGUCGACUCUUUGAAUCGGCUCUUUGGCUGAACGUUGAGAGCUGACUCGCAAAUCUUUCUAAAAAUUAGACUGUGGUUAAUAAUUUACUGAAAUGUAAUUUAUUUUGAUUUGAGGAAAAAGCAGUGUCUAAAUGCUAAAAGAAUGCACGUGACUGAACAAGAUGGUAACAUGUUUAUUGGUACAGUACACUGUAAAAAAUCCAACUUGCAAAUUGUUAACUGCAACAGGUUUGUAGUGCAGUGUAAGCGUUGCAGAUUUGCCCACAGUAGCAGAGACGUCCUCUUGAAACACUACAGGCUUCGGCACUAUAGAGUGUGAUCCUAUCAGAAUCCUUGCUUGUAUACUGACUGUAUCUGCACUUUUAAAACUUUAGGUGUGUUAAAAACACAUUUGACAAGAUCACACAAACAUACUGCAGUUACUGACCACUU